rnacentral:misc_RNA from 1 species
GAGAGAGUGCUGCAUAUGCCAUUACAAGUCAGUCAAAAGUUGUCCAGUGAAAGAUAAAUUACAUGGUAAUACAAAAAAACAAUCGAGAUUCAGCAGGGAUCAUCAAUUCAGCGGUUCCCAUUAUUUCAAUCUAGUAAUACAUGCAGUGGAAUAACUCCAGAAUCUAAACUAAAAGAGAGCCUUCCAUCACAGUACGAGCUUUCCCUCGCAGCAGCACUCUCUGCUUCUGCUCAUCCAAAUGAAUGGUCAAUAUUCCACUUCUCGGUGAUGCCUGACCAAAUAAAACAAAUCUGAGCAAUAUGCAAUUUAGAAAAACUGUUUUCAUGUAGUUGUGCAUGAACAUUUGAGACGGAGAGAGAUGGCAGAAGCAAAGAGGAAAAAGUACCGCAUAAGCCAUAAAAUCACACUUUCCAAGCUUUUUGCCCCAGUAGGGGGCUAAAGCGCAAUGUGCACUUCCACAGACAGGAUCCUGAAAAACAUGACAAAUGUUUGCUGAUUCAAUUUCUUUUACUAGUUUCAGUACCAAAUACCGAUUUGAGCAUUGCUACGCCUAGAUCAACAGGAAUCCAGUGAUGAAGAGUUGCUCAAAGAGUUACCAGAACAGAAACUAGAAGGCAUACAAGGAGCAGUCUUUACGCUAGUUAACCCUUCUUUCUUGAGGAAUUUGAGAUUGAAAUUUUUUUUCUUAACUAUUCCAUUUUGGUGUAUCAUAUUCUAACAGUUUGCGGGACUUGACGCCCAUGAAAAUUUUGUACAAGCUGGAUAGUUAUUGACUUAAUGUGAAGGACUUUAAAUACUUCAUUAAAUUAGCAAUAACAUUUCCAUUGCAAUCGAAGGAAUGUAAAAAAUCAAUUAGCAUUUGUAAGUAGUACACUACUGCAAUAAGCAAGAUCAAAUGCCAACAUAUUUACCUCAUUGAUUCCAAAUUUGGGACAGAAAAAUCGACUAUAAAAGUCAAAUCCAGACCCUGAUGGAGCAACCCCAGAAACAAUUAUCCCCCUUCCAGGGCACUUUAGUAUCUCAUCAAACUGUGGCUGUAAUUCUGUAACAGCUUUAGCAGAUGGCAAGACAACCUACCGAAAAUGUGAAUAUUCAUUUAGGUACAGAAAAACAUAUGCUUUAGAUACAAUGACUACUAUAUUCAGGUCAUGAAACAUAGUAAUGUGAUGGUUCUUGCCAUUCAUGCUCAGUGAAUAUUACUCUCUCCAGAAAAAAGAAAUGAGAUGCAAGAAAUUUAAGAGGAAAAGGAUGGGACAUAUUACAAAGAGGUCAUCUGCACCAGUAGUCCUCUUGAUAUCAAUUAUGGAAGCGCCAUUCAGGGCUUUAGAAAUCGAUGCAAGAUCAAGAGAGUUGAAUUCAGUAGUUGGGACAGUAGGAAAAUCUAAUUCAAUAAGAAAACACUCUUUUGGUUUGCUAUUUUGAUUGCUCAAGUCAUCAGUUCUGCUGAUAUCAGAAAUCCUCUUAGCAGUUAGGAUACCAGAUAGUGUAACAAACUCAAUAACGUUAGAAGUUACCAAUCCAUUAGAAAAGAGAAUGUGUGAAGCAGCUAGCGUUGCAUGACCACAAAGCUUAACCUCAGCAACAGGAGUGAACCACCUAAGAUGGAACCUGGGAUUUGAAUUGACAGUAUCGGGGAGAUUGAUGGGAGUCAAAUAGCAGGUCUCGGAAAUGUUGAACUCGGCAGCCACAGCUUGCAACCACUUGUCAUCUUUCUCUUCCUCUAAGAAACAUACUGCUGCUGGAUUUCCCUUGAAAGCGGAAUCGGUGAAAGCGUCGACCACAAAGUACUUGACGAGUUGUUUCCCCAUUUUACAGAUCCUACCUUAUGAACUGGAAAGAAAGUUGAGAUCUUGAAGAUCCCCUUAAUUACUUAAAAACACCAACUUUUUAUGAUUAUUAGCACUCACGAUUUCUGGGAUGAUUAUGAAUAAUUUAUUCAAAUUUCUACUAUUUUCUUAAAACGAAAUUAUAUAUAAUAUAAAGAAUUGUAUGAGCUUUUUUAAUUAAGUCAACUUUUGAAAUUCAAACUAUCACACAUUCAUAAAAACAAAAACAUCAAAUUCGUCGGUUGAAUAAGAGAAUUAACGACCUAUAAUCAACCUCCCAUUGGUUGAUUGGAAACAUAUUUGUACGUUCAGAUGCUAGCUUCAGCAUGACAGAAGCUAGAGGUCCAUAAACUCCAUGUCAUAACUCAUAAAUAGUACAAAGCGAUUGAAGUGUUACGAUUUCAGUGUUCCGCAUGGAUCAUGAAGAGUUCUAUUUAUAGCCAUAACUUGGAG